rnacentral:rRNA from 1 species
AGUGAACGCUGGCGGCGUGCUUAACACAUGCAAGUCGAACGAGAACGGACUUUAGUUUACUAAAGUUGUCAGCUAAGUGGCGCACGGGUGAGUAAUAUAUAGGUAACGUGCCUCUUACAAAAGAAUAACAGUUGGAAACGACUGCUAAUGCUUUAUAUGCCUCUAUCACAUAAGUGAGCGAGGGAAAGUUUUUCGGUAAGAGAUCGGCCUGUACGGUAUCAGCUUGUUGGUGAGGUAAUGGCUCACCAAGGCUAUGACAUCUAACUGGUUUGAGAGGAUGAUCAGUCACACUGGAACUGAGACACGGUCCAG